UACGGGGGGGGCAAGCGUUGUUCGGAAUUACUGGGCGUAAAGGGCGCGUAGGCGGGCAUCCAAGUCCGUGGUGAAAUCCUCCAGCUCAACUGGAGAACUGCCUCGGAUACUGGGUGUCUCGAGUGGGGUAGGGGUGUGUGGAACGUUCGGUGGAGCGGUGAAAUGCGUUGAUAUCGAACGGAACUCCGGUGGCGAAGGCGACACACUGGACCUCAACUGACGCUGAGGCGCGAAAGCCAGGGGAGCAAACGGG
rnacentral:rRNA from 1 species